rnacentral:rRNA from 1 species
UGCUUGCACUGGUACUCGAGUGGCGAACGGGUGAGUAACACGUGGGUGAUCUGCCCUGCACUUCGGGAUAAGCCUGGGAAACUGGGUCUAAUACCGGAUAGGACCACAUUUUGGAUGGUGUGGUGGAAAGUUUUUCGGUGUGGGAUGAGCUCGCGGCCUAUCAGCUUGUUGGUGGGGUAAUGGCCUACCAAGGCGUCGACGGGUAGCCGGCCUGAGAGGGUGUACGGCCACAUUGGGACUGAGAUACGGCCCAGACUCCUACGGGAGGCAGCAGUGGGGAAUAUUGCACAAUGGGCGCAAGCCUGAUGCAGCGACGCCGCGUGGGGGAUGACGGCCUUCGGGUUGUAAACUCCUUUCGCUAGGGACGAAGCGCAAGUGACGGUACCUGGAGAAGAAGCACCGGCUAACUACGUGCCAGCAGCCGCGGUAAUACGUAGGGUGCGAGCGUUGUCCGGAAUUACUGGGCGUAAAGAGCUCGUAGGUGGUUUGUCGCGUCGUUUGUGUAAGCCCGCAGCUUAACUGCGGGACUGCAGGCGAUACGGGCAUAACUUGAGUGCUGUAGGGGAGACUGGAAUUCCUGGUGUAGCGGUGGAAUGCGCAGAUAUCAGGAGGAACACCGAUGGCGAAGGCAGGUCUCUGGGCAGUAACUGACGC